rnacentral:rRNA from 2 species
UGCUAUACAUGCAGUCGAGCGAACAGAUGAGAAGCUUGCUUCUCUGAUGUUAGCGGCGGACGGGUGAGUAACACGUGGGUAACCUACCUAUAAGACUGGGAUAACUCCGGGAAACCGGGGCUAAUACCGGAUAAUAUUUUGAACCGCAUGGUUCAAUAGUGAAAGACGGUUUCGGCUGUCACUUAUAGAUGGACCCGCGCCGUAUUAGCUAGUUGGUAAGGUAAUGGCUUACCAAGGCGACGAUACGUAGCCGACCUGAGAGGGUGAUCGGCCACACUGGAACUGAGACACGGUCCAGACUCCUACGGGAGGCAGCAGUAGGGAAUCUUCCGCAAUGGGCGAAAGCCUGACGGAGCAACGCCGCGUGAGUGAUGAAGGUCUUCGGAUCGUAAAACUCUGUUGUUAGGGAAGAACAAAUUUGUUAGUAACUGAACAAGUCUUGACGGUACCUAACCAGAAAGCCACGGCUAACUACGUGCCAGCAGCCGCGGUAAUACGUAGGUGGCAAGCGUUAUCCGGAAUUAUUGGGCGUAAAGCGCGCGUAGGCGGUUUCUUAAGUCUGAUGUGAAAGCCCACGGCUCAACCGUGGAGGGUCAUUGGAAACUGGGAAACUUGAGUGCAGAAGAGGAGAGUGGAAUUCCAUGUGUAGCGGUGAAAUGCGCAGAGAUAUGGAGGAACACCAGUGGCGAAGGCGGCUCUCUGGUCUGUAACUGACGCUGAUGUGCGAAAGCGUGGGGAUCAAACAGGAUUAGAUACCCUGGUAGUCCACGCCGUAAACGAUGAGUGCUAAGUGUUAGGGGGUUUCCGCCCCUUAGUGCUGCAGCUAACGCAUUAAGCACUCCGCCUGGGGAGUACGACCGCAAGGUUGAAACUCACAGGAAUUGACGGGGACCCGCACAAGCGGUGGAGCAUGUGGUUUAAUUCGAAGCAACGCGAAAACCUUACCAAAUCUUGACAUCCUUU